AGAAGAAGAAAACUUGGUAUAGUAGUGAAAGCUCUGCGACAUCAUAGCUGUGUGCAUUAGCACCAUAGUUCAUUAGUCGUGUGCAGUGGUGAGUACAGUGCAGAGAACAAAUGUAUGUUCUAAACCAUGGCUGAAGUGAAGUCCUGUGACACAGCAGGCAGAUACUGCCAGGAAAUCUUGCUUCAUUAUACAUUUGAUUCUAAUUUUUGGUAGUUGCCAUUCAGAAACCUUUUACUGUUGCCAAAUUAUUUUUUGAUCUCCACAUUCAUUUAUGUAACCCUGUAUGUUGUCAUCAUGGCCAACAGCUUAAGAAAUUGUACUUCAAAGAAUACUUUUAAUUUUAAAAAAUAAUUUUGUUGUAAAUUGACCAACUGUGUGUGUGUGUGUGUGUGUGUGUGUGUGUGUGUGUGUGUGUGUGUAUGAGCUAUAAAGUGAUGUUAGGAUUUAUGAAUAUAAAUAUAAGUAAGUCAAGCCAAGGAACACAUAUCCACAUCUCAGAUACUUAUCUCUUUAAUUUUGAAGAUCUAGUAAUGCUCGCACUUCAUUCAUACAGGUUUGAUUAAUGCUGAUGUGAUUGUAUGCCUCUGCUAACAUGUUGGCAAUGUCUAACUCUAGCCUAGAGCCAGAAGCCAGGGUUCUGUGAUCCCCCCACUUCUUGUAUGUGGGGAAUAUCAGAUCUGUAGGUAGUAUUUGUGAUGUAGGUAGUAUUUGUGAUGUAAGCAGGUCUAGUUCUCUAGACCCAGUUCUUUGCUGGCCCAGAAAACCAGUUGCUGGAUUCUUGAGGUUCUCACAAGCCAUACUGAGGAAACGUUAAAUCAGAAAGGCCAUUGUGCUUCAGAUGAUGGGUUAAGACCUGAGUAGAAUAAAAUCAGUCCUUUAAACAAAUUAGGAACUAUUGCACUGUACCUUACCAAGUAAUGUAUUUACAUGGUUUUAAAACAUUUAGCAACAUAAGAAAACACAAGGAGGUAGAAGAAUAUGCUCCCCUACCAGUGUCAAGGAGGCAAAAUUACUCUAAACCAUUGAGCUAUCUUUUUUUAUUGCCUGUAUUUCUAUUAUUUUAAUCGAUUUGCCUGUGGUAAACAAAGUAUUGAUGGGUGUCCCCCCACAAGGAUGAAGCUUACCUGUUUGUACUCUUCCUCCUUAUUUUUGUGGAUACAGUUACGCCAUUUAUUUUUAUCUCUGGUUUUAGUGACCUGGCUUUGAUAUGCCAGCAUCUUUUAUAAAUUACCUGAUCUGUAAAGACAGUAUCCCUCUUCCUUCAUCCCAUCUGGAACAAUAAGUUGGGUCUGGUGAGAGUUAUGUGUAGACUUAGAGGGCUGAGCAUAGUUUACAAUUAAUCUGGAGGAAAUCUAAAUGUUUUGUGUGGGACUUAUUAUAAUCUUUGCCUUUUUAUGUUUUAUAGAAAUAAAUACCUUCCCUUAAUUGAUGAAAAUGAAAAUACAGAAGAAAGAGAAGCAGUUGUCCAAGUUAAGAGCUUUGAAUCACUCCCCAAUGUCGGAUGCCUCUGUUAACUUUGACUACAAAUCUCCGUCACCAUUCGAUUGCAGUCCUGAUCAGGGAGAGAACAUUGAAGAAGCUGCCAAUCAUUGUCUGCCCCAUAAGAACCUCUAUACUACUGAAGAGGAAGCUGACACCCUUUUUUCUAGGAAAUUGACAUCCCAUAAUGGGAUGGAGGAUAGUGGAGGCAGAGGUACUGGAGUAAAGAAGAAACGGAAGAAAAAGGAGCCAGGGGAGCAAGAGGGGACAAAGGGAAGCAAGGACAGAGAGCCUAAGCCAAAGAGGAAGCGAGAACCUAAAGAGCCAAAAGAACCCAGAAGGGCCAAGGAGCCGAAGAGAGCCAAGGAGCCCAAGGAGACAAAGCAGAAAGACGGUGUCAAGAAGCCCCGGAAGCACCGGGAGGCCUCCGGUACCAAGGAAGGUAAAGAGAAGAGAAGCUGCACUGAUUAUGGAUCCAGGACAAAGUCCAAGAAGGCCAGCAGGGAGCAAGGACCAACCCCAGUGGAGAGAAAGAAGAAAGGAAAAAGGAAAAACGAAACCACCGUGGAGAGUUUAGAGCUGGACCACAGUCUUCCAAACCCAUCUCUGCAGAGCCCUGAGGAGCCCAGUGAGUCUGCAGACAGCCAGAAACGGCGCUCAGGACGGCAAGUAAAGCGCAGAAAAUACAAUGAGGACCUGGACUUCAAAGUGGUGGAUGACGAUGGGGAAACAAUUGCUGUCCUGGGAGCUGGCCGCACAUCUGCACUCUCGGCUUCCACUCUGGCCUGGCAGGCUGAGGAGCCUCCAGAAGAUGAUGCAAACAUAAUUGAGAAGAUCCUGGCAUCCAAGACUGUCCAGGAGGUUCACCCAGGAGAACCUCCAUUCGACCUAGAGCUUUUCUACGUUAAGUAUAGAAAUUUUUCCUAUUUACAUUGUAAAUGGGCCACAAUGGAAGAACUGGAAAAGGAUCCCCGCAUCGCACAGAAGAUCAAGCGAUUUAGGAACAAACAGGCCCAGAUGAAGCACAUUUUCACUGAGCCUGAUGAAGACUUGUUCAAUCCAGAUUAUAUAGAAAUUGAUCGUAUCUUAGAAGUGGCCCACACCAAGGAUGCAGAAACAGGGGAGGAAGUAACACAUUACCUGGUAAAAUGGUGCUCCCUGCCAUAUGAGGAAAGCACCUGGGAGCUAGAAGAAGAUGUGGAUCCUGCAAAAGUGAAGGAAUUUGAAUCUCUACAAAUUCUCCCUGAAGUUAAACAUGUGGAACGACCUGCCUCUGAUGCGUGGCAGAAACUGGAGACAUCCCGUGAGUAUAGGAACAGUAACCGGCUGCGAGAGUACCAACUCGAGGGGAUGAACUGGCUUCUUUUCAACUGGUACAACAGAAAAAACUGUAUAUUGGCUGAUGAAAUGGGCCUAGGGAAAACCAUCCAGUCCAUCGCAUUCCUUUCAGAAAUCUUUGUCAGAGGAAUCCACGGCCCCUUUCUCAUCAUUGCCCCACUUUCCACCAUCACUAACUGGGAGCGAGAAUUCCGGACAUGGACGGAGAUGAAUGCUAUUGUGUACCACGGCAGCCAGAUCAGCAGGCAGAUGAUCCAGCAGUACGAAAUGGUAUACAGAGAUGCACAGGGAAACCCCCUUUCAGGAGUCUUCAAGUUCCACGUCGUCAUCACAACGUUUGAGAUGAUCCUGGCAGAUUGCCCAGAGCUGAAGAAAAUUCACUGGAGCUGUGUGAUAAUUGAUGAGGCCCACAGACUGAAGAAUAGGAACUGCAAACUUCUGGAAGGGUUAAAGCUCAUGGCCCUGGAACACAAAGUGCUGCUCACAGGAACACCCUUGCAGAACUCUGUGGAAGAGCUCUUCAGUUUGCUUAACUUUCUGGAGCCCUCGCAGUUCCCUUCAGAGACUGCCUUCUUAGAGGAGUUUGGUGAUCUCAAAACAGAAGAACAGGUAAAGAAAUUGCAGUCUAUCCUAAAACCAAUGAUGCUUCGGCGCCUGAAAGAUGAUGUGGAGAAGAACCUUGCUCCUAAGCAAGAGACCAUCAUUGAAGUAGAACUGACCAAUAUCCAGAAAAAGUACUAUCGUGCUAUCCUAGAGAAAAACUUUUCCUUCCUGACCAAAGGUGCAAAUCAACACAACAUGCCCAAUCUUAUCAAUACUAUGAUGGAGCUCAGAAAAUGCUGUAACCACCCCUACCUGAUCAAUGGGGCCGAGGAAAAGAUUCUGGAAGAUUUCAGAAAAGCGCACAGCUCCGAAGCCUCUGACUUCCAGCUGCAGGCCAUGAUCCAGGCGGCCGGGAAGCUGGUGCUGAUUGACAAGCUUCUCCCCAAGCUCAUUGCCGGGGGCCACAAAGUGCUCAUCUUCUCGCAGAUGGUGCGCUGCCUCGACAUCCUGGAAGAUUAUCUCAUCCAGAGGAGAUACACCUAUGAGCGAAUUGAUGGGCGAGUACGGGGAAACCUGCGCCAGGCAGCCAUCGACCGGUUCUGUAAGCCAGACUCAGACCGCUUUGUCUUUCUUCUGUGCACCAGAGCGGGAGGCCUGGGAAUCAAUCUCACAGCUGCUGAUACCUGCAUCAUAUUUGAUUCUGACUGGAACCCACAAAAUGACUUGCAGGCUCAGGCCCGAUGUCAUCGUAUAGGCCAGAGCAAAGCCGUGAAGGUAUAUCGCCUAAUCACUCGAAACUCCUAUGAGCGGGAAAUGUUUGACAAGGCCAGCCUGAAGCUGGGCCUGGACAAGGCUAUUCUUCAGGACAUCAACCGAAAGGGCAGCACCAAUGGAGUACAGCAGCUCUCAAAAAUGGAAGUGGAGGAUUUGCUCCGGAAAGGUGCUUAUGGGGCUUUAAUGGACGAGGAAGACGAAGGCUCCAAGUUCUGUGAGGAAGAUAUAGACCAGAUCCUGCAGAGAAGAACCCACACCAUCACCAUCCAGUCAGAAGGCAAGGGGUCCACUUUUGCCAAGGCUAGUUUCGUGGCUUCAGGAAACAGAACAGAUAUUUCCUUGGAUGACCCUAAUUUUUGGCAGAAAUGGGCUAAAAUAGCUGAAUUAGACACUGAAGCAAAUAAUGAAAAGGAAAGCUUAGUGAUUGACCGGCCGCGUGUGAGGAAGCAGACCAAGCACUACAACUCUUUUGAGGAGGACGAGCUCAUGGAGUUCUCAGAGUUAGACAGCGACUCAGACGAAAGGCCCACACGGUCCAGACGCCUCAGCGACAGAGCCCGACGCUACCUCCGCGCUGAGUGCUUCCGAGUGGAGAAGAACCUGCUCAUCUUUGGCUGGGGCCGGUGGAAGGACAUCCUGACUCACGGGCGAUUCAAGUGGCCCCUGAAUGAGAAGGAUAUGGAGAUGAUUUGCAGGGCUCUGCUGGUGUACUGUGUCAAGCAUUACAAAGGGGAUGAGAAAAUCAAAAGUUUUAUUUGGGAACUAAUCACACCUUCCAAAGACGGGCAAGUUCAGACCCUCCAGAACCACUCAGGCUUGUCUGCCCCAGUCCCCAGAGGGAGGAAAGGAAAAAAGACAAAAAACCAGCUCUUGCUCCCAGAACUGAAGAAUGCAGACUGGCUGGCCACCUGCAAUCCUGAGGUGGUCUUACAUGAUGAUGGAUACAAGAAACACCUCAAACAGCAUUGCAAUAAGGUGCUUUUGAGAGUCCGGAUGCUGUACUACCUAAAAGCUGAAAUACUGGGAGAAGCAGCUGAUAAAGCAUUCGAGGGAACUCCUGCCAGAGAGCUGGAUGUGCUUCUGCCUGACAUUGACUAUGUGGAGAUCCCAGUGGAUUGGUGGGACGCUGAAGCUGAUAAGUCCCUUCUCAUUGGCGUGUUCAAGCACGGGUAUGAGAGGUACAAUGCCAUGCGGGCUGACCCAGCGCUCUGCUUCCUAGAGAAAGUUGGCAUGCCUGAUGAGAAGUCCCUUUCUGCAGAGCAGGGAGUUACAGAUGGAACUUCGGACAUUCCUGAAAGAGGCAACAUAGAUAAAGAAGACAGUGCUGAGGACAAGUUGGAUGGUCUCCAGAAGCAAACGGCGAGUCCCAGUGAUGGAAGUGAUGGCAUUUUUGGUGAAAAGAAGGAUGACAGCCAGGCAGCCCAGGAUGGCUCCGACCCAGACAAAUCACCCUGGCCAGUUUCCUCUGCCCUCACUGCUCGACUCAGGCGUCUGGUCACUAUUUACCAGCGCUGCAACCGCAAGGAGCUAUGCAGACCUGAAAUCUUAGGCCCAGGUAACCAAGGAUACUGGGUUCAGGAGGAAGUGUUCAGGAGAACUUCAGAAAUGGACCUCAUCAACAAGGAAGCCCAAAAAAGGUGGACUAGAAGAGAGCAAGCUGACUUCUAUAGGACAGUGUCUUCCUUUGGUGUUGUGUAUGACCAAGAAAAGAAAGCCUUUGACUGGACACAGUUCCGCAUCAUUUCUCGUUUGGACAAGAAGUCAGAUGAGAGCCUGGAGCACUAUUUUUAUAGCUUUGUAGCCAUGUGUCGGAAUGUGUGUCGUCUCCCCGCAUGGAAAGAUGAUGGUCCCCCUGAUGCCAGCAUCUAUGUUGAACCCAUCACUGAGGAGCGGGCAGCAAAGACUCUAUACCGUAUUGAACUGCUGAGGAAAGUCCGUGAGCAGGUGCUCAUGUGUCCUCAACUACAUGAGCGCCUCCAGCUUUGCAGGCCCAGCCUCUACCUCCCAGUCUGGUGGGAGUGUGGGAAACAUGAUCGAGACCUGCUCAUUGGCACCGCCAAACAUGGGCUCAACCGCACUGACUAUUACAUCAUGAAUGACCCCCAGCUAUCCUUCCUAGAUGCCUAUAGAAACUAUGCCCAACACAAAAGAACUGACACCCAGGCACCUGGAAGUCUCUGUUGCCUUUACCAGAGCAAUUCUAAACUAUAUGAGUCUCUUACUUACACCCCAGUGAGUAGGACUUCAGAGUCUCUUGAAAGUGAGCCAGAGAAUCUGAUGAGAAUGGAAAGCAGGGAUGAUCAUCUCUGCCUGCCUGAGGGCGGCUUACCUGACAUAACGUGUGAAAACUUUGUUUCCAAAGUUCAGGAGGUCAUUUCUCUUGACCAUGAUGAAAACUUGCUGCCUGAGUCUUUGGAGAACAUGAUAUAUGGUAAGACAGGACUCAGCCAAGAGCCGCAUUCUUUUCAGGAGGCCCCAACUACCAACACACAGUCCAGGAAAAAUACUAUCACCAUCUCAGCCAGCAGAAAUGAGAGCUGCCAGCCUCCUGGUAUUGAGGCAGAAAUUACUUCAGCUUCCUCUCUCAUGAGCAGCUUAGAAGCAGGAGUAGCUAAAAUGAAUAUUAAAAAUGGAAAACAUUUGCUGGUAUCUAUCUCAAAAGAAGGGGAGCCCUGCUGCAGUGAGACAGGACGGAGACCUGAAACCAUAGGCCACCGAGAGGCCAAAUGCUUAGUGUCCCCUACCUUAGAUACAGGACAUGAAAGUGGGUUUGUAGAUCUAUGUAGUCUUAGUGUCUAUGACCCCAAAAGAAACUUCUCCUCAGAUCAGCAAUUAAUUGACUUAUUAGAAAACAAGAGUUUAGAAAGUAAGUUGAUUUUAAAUCAGAGUGAUGAGGAAGAGGAAGAAAAUGAGGACGAAACCUUAGCCAUAGUAGCAAGCGCCACAGAAAAGCCAGAGGUCUUGGAUUUCCCCAAGCCCACUGUAAACAUCCCAAGGGGGAAGAACCUCAGCUUCCACCAAGAUGAAGCCAAGAAAGGAAGGCUGGAGGUGGUGAGCAAGACUGCUGGACCACAGAGGGUCUUUCCUCCCCCAGCCAAUCAGUGCCACUGUAAACACAUCGAAAGGUGGGCACAUGGCCUGGGGAGCGAGGACUCUGAAGUAGAGAAACCCAAGGCUUAUCAGCCAGACCUGUACAGAAGCAAAGCCAAUAAUUCCACAGUGGAAGGUGAGACUGCUGUUAUUCCAACAGAGCCAUUUAAACUGAAGCAUGAGCUUUUAAAAGAACCAUGGAAAGAAAGUUCAGAGGGGGGAAAGAGUUUCUCCAUGUAUGCUCCUGAGGGAAGUGAGCCCAAACCAGAAGACAUGGAUUUUGAGAAUAAAGAUGAUUAUGAGAAAGAUGGAACCUGCCUCAGUCAAGGAACUCCAAAAAUACAAGUCAAGUUGGCCUUGUUGAGACUACCCAGGCAAAUACUCUGAGGAAGAGAGUAAGAGUUCGGCAUCAGGCAUUGCAGGAGACCUUGGGGAAGAGGCACAGGAAGUGCGGGCUCCCACCAUUGCUCAGCUACUGCAGGAGAAAACCCUCUAUUCCUUCUCAGAAUGGCCAAAGGAUCGUGUGAUAAUUAACCGCCUAGAUAAUAUUUGCCAUGUGGUGUUAAAGGGGAAGUGGCCCUGCAGCCACCAGUAUGAGCCCUCAGGUGCACUGCCCACACCAGUGUUAUCCAGCAGUGCAGGUUCUCGAAGCAGCCUCUCAGAGCCAGAAGCAACAGAGCACGGCUUCAGCAAUGGUGCAGCACUGGCAGCCCAGAUCCAGAAGGAGAGCUUCUUAGCCCCAGUAUUCACAAAAGAUGAACAAAAGCACAGACGUCCCUAUGAGUUUGAGGUGGAAAGGGAUGCCAAAGCUCGGAGCCUAGAAGAAUACUCUGCCACCCAUGGGCGUCCGCCCAUUGUCCUCAAUGGCUGGCAUGGGGAGUCAGCUAUAGACCUCUCCUGCUCCUCAGAGGGGUCUCCAGGAGCCACAUCUCCUUUCCCAGUGAGUGCCAGCACCCCUAAGAUUGGUGCUAUCAGUUCACUUCAAGGAGCUCUCGGUAUGGACUUGUCUGGAAUUCUGCAAGCUGGUCUAAUCCACCCAGUGACUGGGCAGAUUGUCAACGGAAGCCUCAGGAGGGAUGAUGCUGCCAUGAGAAGGCGGAGAGGAAGGCGAAAACAUAUUGAGGGAGGGAUGGACCUCAUCUUCCUGAAGGAGCAAACACUUCAGGCUGGAAUCUUGGAAGUCCAUGAAGAUGCAGGGCAGACUACCCUGAGCACCACACACCCUGAAGUGCCAGGAGCUACUUCCUCAGCUCCUGAGCCAACAGCAGCAGCCAGCAGCCAGGCUGAGAAAGCUGUUCCCAGCAAGAGCCUACUUGACUGGCUGAGGCAGCAGGCUGACUACUCUUUGGAUGUUCCUGGCUUUGGGACAAGUUUUUCAGACAAACCCAAGCAGAGGAGACCACGCUGCAAAGAACCUGGAAAAUUAGACAUCAGCUCUCUAGGUGGAGAAGAGAGGGUUCCUGCUGUCCCCAAGGAGCCAGGACUGAGGGGGUUUCUCCCAGAAAGCAAAUUCAAUCACACCCUAGCUGAGCCUGUGCUUCGAGAUGCGGGUCCCCGCAGGAGGGGGAGGCGGCCUCGAAAUGAACUCCUAAAAGCUCCAGCCAUUGUAGCGGACUCUCCUUCUGGAAUGGGACCACUGUUCAUGAAUGGGCUGAUUGCGGGAAUGGACCUGGUAGGAUUGCAGAAUGUGAGAAAUAUUCCAGGCAUUCCUCUCACUGGGCUGGUGGGCUUCCCAGCUGGUUUUGCCACCAUGCCCACGGGUGAAGAGGUUAAGAACACCCUGAGCAUGCUGCCCAUGAUGCUGCCAGGCAUGGCCGCGGUGCCCCAGAUGUUUGGAGUUGGCGGACUCCUCAACACACCCAUGGCAACCACCUGCACGACCACUGCUUCAGCGUCUCUUGCAAGCACAAAAAGUGGUACCUCAGCCACUGAAAAAUCUACAGAGGACAAGCUGAGUGGCCAUGAUGUAAACACAGACGCUCUGGUAGACGACAAGCCUGGCCCUAGUCCGUUUUCUGAUCAGUCAGAACCCACAAUAACUACUAGUAGUCCUGUGGCUUUCAACCCAUUUCUCAUCCCAGGAGUGUCUCCUGGACUCAUCUACCCUUCCAUGUUUCUUUCCCCUGGCAUGGGCAUGGCUCUGCCAGCCAUGCAGCAGGCCAGACACUCAGAGAUGGUCGGUCUUGAGACCCAGAAGAGGAAAAAGAAGAAAACUAAGGGGGACAGCCCCACCCAAGAGCCUGCGUCUGUGUGUGAAAAGGAGCCAGGCAGUGAUCAGAACUGCACCGAGUCCAGUGCCACUGUGUCCCCAGAGAGAGAACACGUGGCACAGGCCAGGGAGGAGGGGCUCAAAGACUCCAAUGAGGAUACCAAUUAGAACUUUUUCAUUUAAGAAAUGAUUGUGGCUUGUAAGUUUCUUAUCCCAUAAAGGUUUGUCACUUCCCUCACUUCACCUUCAUAAGAACCUGUGUUUUCAUCAGUAAUAUUACCUACCUAAUUUCCUGUCUGAGAACUCUGGUGACAUGUUAAUAGUUGCAGGGUCUUGCCACUUUGUUAGGUAAGUGUCACCUGCCUAGUCUAGGCGGCACAGAAUCCUUCCUUUUAUCCAGUUCAUUCCAGCAAUCACAGUUGAUACAGUGCUUGGUGACAUACCACCUUCCCCUUCUCUUUCAAGUCCCACUCAUCUGAGGAAGAAAAUGGCAGAAGAAAGCUGUGUAGGGAUUCACUGUGGGGCCAAAGAGCAAAGAUGAACGUAAGUGCAAGCUCGUUCUUUUGUGAGCAACUGAAUAAAAAGAUCAUAUUGAGGAAACCAAAAGGCACAUGAUAGGAAGUGCCGGUGCGUACUUUUGUAGUUCAGGUGUCCUGUUGUCUUGGUUACUGAGUAGCGUAGUCUACAGCAUAUAAACUAAUGGUUCAAAAUGCAUAUACUGAUGGCUUCUAAAAACAGGAACCUUCCAGAUAGUAAUACAGUUUCCCCCUCAAGGUUUUCCUCCUCUUCAGCAAGAAGAAAUACUGGCCAGCUAGGCAGUUUCCCUAUCGUCCCUGCUGAGUCUGAGACACUUCAGCACCUUGAGUUACUGCAGCAACUGCGAGGGCGCUGCUCAGGGUCCACAGAUGCUGCUGGCAUUUAUCCCAGGACAACUGCUGCCACCCGUUUCCACUUUUAAGAAACUUGCUGGAUUUUUGUGUUCUUUCACCCAGAGCAAGGCUUUUUGGAGCCUAGUAAGGUAAUCGCUCAGCACUUGCUAGAUUCUGUCAUUAGCGUAGCGUGUCAAAACACGCACACCACCUUUUACAUUGCAACUGUGAAGUUUUGUCCCUCCCAUUUUCUCACUACUCAAACGGUAUCUUAGUAUUGGGCCCAAAUUCCAAAUUGUCAGUCAGGCAAGGUUCUGUUAAGUCAGCAGCAUACACUCUCCAGCUCCGUGUUGAAGAAUUGAGCAGGGAGGAGCCCACUCGGUGGCGCUUCAGUUCCCGUUUUCUUUCCCCUCACCCUUACAUCAUGUUCCUCCUGAGGGUCUCCUCCAAGGACAGCCCCUGCUGAGACUUGAACCAGCCAAACCUAGUUCUCUGGAGCACAGGCUCAGGGGCUAGACAGGUGGCGGGUGUCCCGAGUACCAGGUUCACUUCGGUGUUACAAUUAACUGUGUUUUUUUUACUGUUUCUGUUACAGUUUUGCUAACUUAUCAGAAGGUCGGAAAGUUUGGCUGUUUCAGUUUGCAUUAUUUAUUUAUGAUGAUUUUUGUCAUUGUCUUUUAUACGUUUGGGUUAUAAAUUAUGUAAAUGUUAAAAUGAGCAUCUCAAAGAAGUCUGUUAAAUUGUGACCGGAAAAAAAAAAACAAUCAGGUGUAUUUUCAAAACAGAGAGUCCCAGUUUUAUGAAUCAUAGAUAUAAACUAGAAAUUCUAUAACGAUCUAUAAGAAAGAAGAAUCCAAGAACUGAAUAAAUGCUAUUUAAUAACCUCCUUGUAGUGUAGAAGGUCUGUGAUGCUGGUAACAGAUUUCUUAGAAAUGCUGCUCACUGUUGAACUAACAUCCUGUUCAGUUCUGCUCCGGCGGAAGCAGAAAGGUUUCUCGGCUGUUAAAUCCUAAAGAUCAAUAUAAUUUAUUUAUGUAAGAGAAACAUGCAAUCAAUAUAUUUUUGAACCUUUUAAGUACUAAUUUUCUUUUUAUCAAGUAGAAAAAAAUGUAUUUGCCCUAAAUCCUUAAAAAUACAAAUGCUAUAAAACCUCCUGUAUUUUGCAAGCCUUACUGCAAUGAGCAUUGUAGACACCCAGCAGGGUCUGCUCUUCCUGUCGUCUCCCGUGUUGUCUCAUGUGGAGAGCUCCUCUCCCAGCUUCCACCUAAACUUCCAAGUAGGUCACAGGGUCCGCUGCGGACCCAACUUAACCACCAGCAUGCGCAAUCCCUUGUUAUAUCUUAACCGAACCUGUAUGUUAACUCUCGGGUGUUCAGGCUUCUGUUGACUGCUGUUGUGAUACUGUUUGCAAAAUGAAAUUGACACUGUGGAUUAUUUGCUCUGUAAGGCAUAAGUGCUUCUUAUGAUUAUUUUAACGUUCCGAGAGCAAAAGCCAAAUUUAAACUCUCUUCAGCAAACUUGAGCCUCUUCAUCUAAUUCCAUGUCACUCAUAGCCAUAACUUCUCUUGGUCAUCUUCACCCAUGUUUCACAUAAUAAAUUGUCUGUGGUCUUGA